rnacentral:rRNA from 1 species
CAUGCCGUAAACGUUGGGUGCUAGACGUGGGGGCCUUUCCACGGUUUCCGUGUCGUAGCUAACGCAUUAAGCACCCCGCCUGGGGAGUACGGCCGCAAGGCUAAAACUCAAAGGAAUUGACGGGGACCCGCACAAGCAGCGGAGCAUGUGGUUUAAUUCGAAGCAACGCGAAGAACCUUACCUGGACUUGACAUCCCCUGAAUGACUCGUAAUGGAGGAAGCCCUACGGGGCAGGGAGACAGGUGG